CAAUAGCGUAUAUUAAAGUUGUUGCGGUUAAAAAGCUCGUAGUUGGAUUUCUGUCUAGGGUGGCCGGUACCCACUAUGUGAAGUAUCUGGUUCAGUCUGGGCAUCCUCUUGGGGAUCGUUCCUGUGCUUGAUUGCAUGGGACGGAAUUCAAGACUUUUACUUUGAGGAAAUUAGAGUGUUCACGGCAAGCUUUCGCUUUGAAUACAUUAGCAUGGAAUAAUAAUAUAGGGCGUAAGUUCUAUUUUGUUUGGUUUCUUAGAACAUACGCAAUGAUUAAUAGGGAGUAAUUGGGGGCGGACUCGUAUUAACAACGUCAGAGGUGGGAAUUCUUUAGUAUUGUUGUUACGACGAACUAACUGCGAAAGACAUUUGUCCAAGG
rnacentral:rRNA from 1 species